rnacentral:rRNA from 1 species
UACGUAGGUGACAAGCGUUGUCCGGAUUUAUUGGGCGUAAAGAGCGUGUAGGCGGCUAAAUAGGUCCGUUGUGAAAACUCGAGGCUCAACCUCGAGAUGCCGAUGGAAACCAUUUGGCUAGAGUCCGGAAGAGGAGAGUGGAAUUCCCGGUGUAGCGGUGAAAAUGCGCAGAUAUCGGGGAGGAACACCAGUGGCGAAGGCGGCGAUCUGGGAAGAUACUGACGCUGAGGGUGCGAAAAACGUGGGGGAGCGAACAGG